rnacentral:rRNA from 1 species
UACGGAGGGGGCUAGCGUUGUUCGGAAUUACUGGGCAUAAAGGGUGCGUAGGCGGCUUGUUAAGUCAGGGGUGAAAGUUUUCGGCCCAACCGGAAAAUUGCCUUUGAUACUGGCGAGCUCGAGUGCGUGAGGGGUAACCGGAACGAGCAGUGUAGCGGUGAAAUGCGUAGAUAUUGCUCGGAAGGCCAACGGCGAAGGCAGGUUACUGGUACGCAACUGACGCUGAGGCACGAAAGCGUGGGGAGCAAACAGG